CAAAGUCUGAGGCCUUGUCAAAUACCCAGUAUUAACUUUGGAUACUGACCCAGAAGUGGAGCAUUGCAGAGGUAAGAGCAUGGGCAGGAGAAAAUCAGUAAGAUGUUUCCUGUAAAAGCCUUUUGCCAGACAAGAGGAAUCAUUACCACGAUGAUACUUCUAAUUAUAAUGUCAUUAGGGCACCACUGCAGGUUCCUAUGGCGCAUGAAGUUUUUCAGCAUCUUGAUCCAAAAUGGGCAAAAUGUAGGCAUUAACCCUUUCACUGGAAGUAGACUUGAAUAUCUAGGCAAGCUGAAAGAACACAACUUAUUUUGAAGUUAAGUCAUAGUAUUGCUGAGAGUUCUGGAAAAUUUAGCAGUUGUAAAGAAUACUGAAGAGUAAUUCCCCUGAUCCUUCUGCAUUCAUGCCAGAUGUCACAGAUGGACAAUUGAUGAUAUGUGUUUCUCAAGACACCAAAAAGGUAAAGAUAAUGUACUUUGUUGCUGAUCUAAUUUUUGUCUGACUGGAAAACAGGACGCGAAGUUUCUGGCACAAAGUUGUUGCCCAAACCUUUGAAGAAUAGCCAAGAGCAGAUAACAAACAGGCCUACAGACAAUAUUGCUCAAAGUCACAUUCAACUCCUUAAGCAGCUGUUCAAUCUGUGAAGUGAAAAAUUCUUCUAUUUUUGUGUAAUUUUCAAACUGCUGAUGAUACUAUAACAUAUUCUCUCGGCUUUUCUCUUUGUUUAGGCAGCCUGGAUUUAUACCUUCAAAUCUUGGCUCUAGGAUGGUUCCAAAAGCACAAUCAUGCAUGCAGAUACCACCAAACGUGUCAAAAAUGUUAUGCUAUUAAAUGCUAUGAUAAAACCUUCUACUUAGUGCUACAGUGCUUCUAGAAUUUGUCUUACAGGUCCAAGUUGAUCUUGCCUGUAACUGACCUGUAAAGGAACAUUUCCUGGCUUUGCACAGUGCUGACACUGUGUUCGUGUUGCUCUGGACUGAGUCUAGCUCCUGGUUUGCUCUUCAGGAGUCAGACAGUUAAACCACAAGCCAACUCUGCCACUCUGGAACAAAAUAACAUCCUCUUCAGUGUUUCAGGAUUUACAGAAUGUUAAAUGGGCACAGCGUUCCCCCAGAAUCCCAACCCAGUAGGGUGUUCCCAGGCAGGGGCUACUCCAAGCUUAGGCGUGCAUAGGAGAUCCCAGAUUAGAAGCCUACUGCCAGAGAUACCUUGAGGAAGGGGAUUUUGAGCACUGCGUUAUGCCUUAUGCAGACAGCGUGAAUGAUGGGAUGUCCAGUUUUCCAAUGGACAAAAUUGCACAGGGCAGGUUGAUCAGAGUAACAGAUACCAUGACAACCAAAUAUGUUCAAAGCAAAAGGACAAAAGACAAGAGAGGAAUUUUAAAGGGGGAGGAGGCAGCAAUAACAUUAUUAAUAUAUCCCUGUGUUCUGAAGGAGUGGCUUUUUUUGUGAAACUCAGCAAGUUGUGACCCUGAGCAGUGCCACUGCCGUAGCGCAAUCUGCGUGGUACAAAGUUGGGAUGUGGCAUGAAGAUUUUGUGAAUUCCAGAAGCUCCUCUUUGAUGACUAAGUAGUUAUUAGCUCUUUGAGACUGAGUACCAUUUGGGUAAUUGGCAAGUGGACUGUGACCUGAAGGACUGAUAAACUGGAGGGAAAUCAUUCAAAAUUCUUUUCAGUUUUCCUCCAUACUGCUUUUGUUUCAUGUUCAGACAACUCAAUCUAAAACAUGAAACGUUAUUUUCAGAAGAGCAAUCAUAAUUGGCAUAAUUUGAAGAAAAAAAAAACUAGUAGCACUUGCUAAUAUGGGCAGAAUUCAAUUAAUAAAACACCACAUACUGUGGCUGGUUUGUUUCUAAAAUACACUUAUGUAAUUUAAAAGACAAAUGUGUUGUCUGUGGUGGUCAUUAUUUUAAAGACAGCAGGGUUUAUCCCUUACAUCCCAUUUUUUAAUCUGUGGUUUUAUUGACACUUUGAAAGCUAACAGCCUAGCAGGUUGUUCCUAGGUAGGAAUUCUACCCAAAAGAACAGUUUGUAGAACUGUACUCAUUUAACUGACAUUACAAAGUUGUCCUGCACAUGCAAAAAAAGAACUUUUCACAUGAUGUGAGAAAGACUCUACACCUGUGAUAACGAAGAACACUUCCCAUUAGCAAUGUAAGUAUGUAGAUUUGUCGUUACUUAUUCAGAAAUCAGCCUGCAGGCCCAAGAUGACCUGCUCUUCACCUCACCAAUCCCGCUCCUGCUGCAUCUCACAUGAGGUAGGUGCACUUCUAUUUCAACCCUAAAAGUGGGACUGUUCAUCUUUCUGAAUCAGCUACAUGGGCUGAGUCCUUCUCUUCCACUGCACCAAAUCCUUGCAGGGACGUGUUUUCAGGUGAGCUUUAUUAUUCAGUGUGCACCUUUAUAAGGUUCUGGAAGGCAAAGCUCUCAGGCCACCUUACUCGUUUUUGCAUAGUACCAAAGAGUGUUUUUUGAAAGCCUUUUAGGAUCAGCUUUUUUCUUGGAGUGGUGUCAAUCAUCAAGAAUUUUUAAAUAUUUUACCUAACCAACUACUACUUAUUCCUUUUGAAAGAAAAGCAAAUGAUUACAUGCAGCCCUGGCCAUUUUGCACUCACAUAUCCCUACCUUAUCUCUGCUCCAUAAAGCACCCAGAAGAUGUGUGUGGGCUCCGGUCUGCUCCUCACUUUCACUGCCCACUGAGGGACUUCAAGCAUGAAAGAGCUGUCCUGGUGCACACCCACCUCCGGACAUGGAGAGGAAAUCCCAAGUGAGUACUUUAGGAUAAGUACCCUGAGAUGGUCUUUGGUUGGCUUUGGUUUUCAUACAUUUGUGACAUGAAAUCACCUAAAAACGUAACUUUGCAGUUUAGAUAGAUCUUUGAUGGAAAAAAUGUUUCAGUUAACCUCAUGUAUAAUAAUGGGUAAUUACCUCAGUUCAUAUCUCCUGGAAAUCCCUUUUUAAUACUUUUUUUAUUAUUAUUAUUGUUUUGGGCUACAAAGCAAUUUGCAUGAUGUUUUUUCUCCUUCCCUAGCUAUCUCUCCCUCUCACCACUGCUCACCUUUAUAAACUGAUUUCUGCCUUCUUCCUGGGCUACAAAAUGACAGCGCUUACUAUCUGUCCAGUCGUCUGUUCCUGUUUAGCCAGUAAGUGGAACAUUUCCUAUGACUUUCUUCAGAUAAUGAUCCUCUUUUUCCACAUCUAGGGGGCCUCUAUUGUAUAUAAUCUCUGCAAGAUAAGAGCUUAAUAAAUAACUCUUUUUUAUAGUAUUUUUUUUUUAAUUCUGUACGUCUAGAACACCUGCUCUGCUGCUGCUUGUAGAUUUUUAGGUAAUUUGACUUUAAUUUUUAUAUAAAGAAGAGAUAUGAAACUUCCUCCUGACAUAAUUAGAAAACUAAAAUGUAAGUUUGCUCGCUGAAAACUAUAUCUUGGAGUUCUUUUGCAAUACAAGUUAAUUAACUGGAUUUAGAUAUUUGCAAGACGAUAUAUUUAAUGGGAUUACUGCUCAUAUAAUGUUCUCAGUGACUGAUUUGGAAUCUAAGCUCAGGGAACAGAAUACCGAAUUUCCAGCUCUUUGAGAGUUAAUGUUGUGUUAAGGAAAAGUACAAUUUGAACCUCAUUGUUCAUGAAUAGCGAAGUUAUUCCGGUGAAAUGGAGCCGGUGCCUACAAGGGCUACACGAGGCAGAUGCAUGAGCGGGAGCGCAGACAGCGUCAUUCCUGCGAGUGCUCGGCUACAGAUAUCCCCGCACCUGAACUCCUGGCAAGUUCAAGGCAAUUGCGUAUCUCAUCACAACAUAAUGGCCCUUUAUUCAGCCCCCGUCUCCCAAGUGGGAUCAAUUAGAUGCUUUGGUCUGCAGGCUUGAGAAUAAACAUUUGUGUUUUCGUUUAUAUUUAGAGUGAAAAUGAAGACGCGUGGCCACAGCCGUUCUGCCCGCAUCCGUCGUGUUUUGAAACAAAGGUUUAAUCAGCUCUUUCAAAAUAUUGAUUGCCUUUUUAAUAGGAAAAGGUAGAAAGUUAAAUGACAGCAAGCUCUGGGGAAAAAUGCAAUAGCCCUGCACAGAACAUUUCAGUGCGCCAAUAAAUCUCGCAUUAGCGUCUAUCUUCUCAUUAAGGCAAAUAUAUUUCUAUGUGUCAAUUUGGUUCACUACAAUGUUAGAGUUUCACUCCUAACACAGGAUUUCUCUAAUGAAUAUGGUAAUUUAAAUCUUAUGAUCAGAGUACUACUUUUAUAGAAAUUUGAACAUUUUUUGUUUAAAUGCUAUUAACCGUUUCAAUAUUAGCUCAGUCAAAUAGCUAUUAGAUGGGGAAAUUUAUAUUCUCACUAUAAGGAAUGGAUGUGUAAUUCUACAGUGCUUCUACAUUCUAACACUUUUUUAAAGUACUUGACAAGUAGAAUGGUGAUUCGUGUUUAACGUGUUCGAUUUUAAAAUUUAACCAGCAUUCCAAAGCUCUGGUGAGUUCAAAUGCCUUAACAUUUUUAUUUAUGAUUGUAAUUUUAUUUUUAAGCAUUGAUAAAGUGAAGUCUUAAAAAUCUAACUGGAUAAGAACAUUUAGAUGACAGUGGUUCACCAGGACACAAGUGGGAAAGGGAAAGAAAAUCCCAUGGAGAGAAGGAAACUCUUAUAUACCUGCAUGCAUCUUCCUAAGAUAUGACACAAAAUACUACUGAAGUGAUACUUGCCUUGUUUUGAUCUUGAUUUGGGGGGGAGGUUGUUUGGUUUUGAAUGACCUGUCAAACUGAGAGUUGUGCCAAGGCAACCUUGGCAUCUGAUGUUUUACAUGGCUGCUACGUUACAAGUAUUCCAUUCCAAGUAUUUUAGUCCUUGAAUAAAUUGCUCUUAUUAAGCUAAUUUUGGAUCCAUUCUGUUUAUGAAUGCAUAAAAAUAUUCCUGACUGUUUUCCAGGCUUUUCAAGACAACUAUGAGAUGUACCCUAUGAUGUGAGCAAUCACUAAACAGACUACAACAGAUUAAUAGUUCACAGAAACCUCUUAAAACAUCCUAAGCUCAUAAAUUUGUAAAGAGUUUGUGAUCUUGAGUUAUUAUAUUCUAUGAUUUUCCAUCAAAGGAAUUUGAAUCGUGCCUUUAUAUUCCUGUCCUGUAGCAAAAUAUGCUUGUUUCCAGCCAGGGCUUUCACUGAUGUAAACCCAGAUACUGGUGUUCCUGGAUUGAACAGCAAUGCAACCCUACGAGGGGGAAUUCCAUAGCUGAGAGAGAGCUUUUUUUUCUCAGUAUGUGUCAUGGAAAAGAAAAACACGAUCAUUUAACAACUUUCUUCCAAGCAUGAGCGCGUCUUUGAGCUUACAAAGUCAGGUUUUUGUGAUGAAGAGCUUUCAUUCAUAGGUAUUUCUUUAAAAAAAAAAAAAUACAACCAAUUGUGGAACUAGCAAGAUGAUGGUUAUGAGUGCACAGCAAUAUCCCAUGUCCAGGAACUGCAUCUGCAGCAUCAGAGUGCAGGAUGAAGAGCAUUUCAGGAAGGUAGGAUUCAAUGAACCCACGGCAGUUUGUCAGGAACUCUACAACAAGUAGUCCCAGUGCUUUUCUUUCAUAUUGAAUACAUGGAAUUAGUGCUCUUAGUGCACACAGAGAGCAGGAAGAUAACAAACUACUGCUUGGACAAAGCAGAUUUGACCUACAUAUAGGAGUGGACGCAGCCAAGGGUGGAGCUUCUGAUUGAAUGGUGUUAGCAUCAGUUGUGGUUGGGAAUUUUGCAAACAGUUACAACAGCAGUGAAGAACUUAUUACAAAUAAGUCCCGUAAGUCUGGAUAUUCUGCUGUUCACGAGGAAUAUAAAAUGAGUGCAGACUGGUGGAACUUAGAUGAAACCAUGCCUAAGACAUAAGAACACACCGUCUGUCAGAACGGAAGUACUUUACAAGUCAAGCGUUGCCAGCCAGAACAUCUGAAAAUGUUUUGACAGUAUCAGAAUGUAUCUUUUGGAAUGAACUGAUAAUGCUGUUUUGUCUUCCAAUCCAACUUUUUUUUUCUCUCAGCUUUCUGUUUUACUGAAAGAAUAAGUGGAACUGAAGCUAAGGGUGGCAGAACAUGUGUGUAAAUUAGAUUAAUUUUUCUCCUAGUUGCAGAAAGCAGAAUAGUUUCUAGUUUAUCUUGACAGAUGCAUUUCACAACUAUCUUCUAUCUUAUGCCUUCAAUCCAGAGAGAGGUGAGAAAAAUACAGUGCUGUCCUAUUGAAAAGGCAAUAUCUAAAACUACUCAGCAGUUUGUUGCUGCAUUAGUCCAAGAAUAAUUUAAUUCUGUACUAACAGCAAUUUAGAAAGCACGAAAAUGAAGCUAGAACAUUUCUAAACUAAUUGUUUGCUACACACGUUGAUUAACAGUGCUCUGCAGGAAUUAAUUGAUCCAAGGGCAGGAUCUGGCACUACGGCAGCAACGCUCUUCUUGCAGUGCUCAUAUGAGGUGACUGCACUCACAGCUCCUCAGACUGUGCUACGAAUUGUUUUUCAAACACAUCAUCUGUCCUUGCAGAGAGCCGCUGGAGAUCCUCAGACCAGGCCUGAGCACAGCUAGGUAUUGGCUGUUUCAAUUACAGCUCAAAUACAUCACGCAGAUGGAGGAGUGCACUGGGCAUGCAUUUGGCAUCCCAGGGCAGAUGGCUUUUCCCAAAAUGAGAGCCUGUGGAAAGCUGUUUUCAUCUUCCCAAGCUUCUGGCCUGAUGGACUUCAGCACAAAUGCGUUUCCAAAUAAUGAAUCUGCAGUUCACUUUCUGGCCGAGGUGAACGAGCACACGUUAACUCAUUCAGAAAGGAGAUGAAAAGCUCACAUUCAGGAUGCAUUAAUCUGAAAACAAGUGUACUUUUGUGUCUGGGGAGUAUUAUUUUCAUUGCCAUCAAUUUAGAACAUAGAUAGACUGUGAUUCUAGCUUCACUAUCAGGUUGCCCCACAGGCUGAGACCCCUCACCAGGCCAUUCUAUUUAAUUUAGACUAAUCUAAAGCUGAGUGAAACUUUGUACCCUCUCUGAUUUCUCCCUAUAAUCAGGAACACUCUGAUUUCCCCUUCCCCCAUGACCCAGUCUGAGUGGCUGGGAGAUGGGGGAGAGGUACUCAGGAAAGCGACCUCCAGGUAAAGGCAGCAGCUAUUUGUGCCAGCCUGUCUGCUUGCCUAAUAACAGGUGGCAAACAUGUCCAACCAUAUCAUCCCUAGCUCUUGUUCUGUUUGAAUUUCUCUUUACUUUACACACAAUUCUUGGGAAGGCGUAAUCCUUUACACUUUUGCAUGUGAGUUUUUCAAGGCAUUGCACAUGUCAGCGGAGAUAAAUCUCCCAUGGAAGAGGCUGAAAUCCUAAUGCUGUUCUUCCACCAUUAUGCUCCUAGGUUUGGGUGGAAUUUGAUGGGGCAGAGGUUGUGCCCUAUAGUUUUAAUGUUGGGGUGUUUUUGGUCAGUGUUGUUUUGUCUGUGUUUAGAGGCAUCAAUAUGCACAAGAGAAUCUGUUUUGGACAGUAUCCAAGGUCAAAAAGAAUUCAGCAGCUUUGGCAAAAUGUUCCCUUCUGUCUGUGGUUUACAGAUUCAUCCAUAUGUGAGAUCUUAAAGAAGUAUCUUUCACUCUCUGUUGCUAUCAUCUCUGAUAAUUAGACUUGGCUUUGCUGCUUUCUCUCUCUCCCCGUCUUUCUUUUGUUUUAAACACCACAUGACUGCUUUCAGUGGAUAAGGCAAGUGGAGAAGAAAAGGAUCCAGUAGUGGCCCUCAACUGGCAGGCACUCAGCAAGCAAAUCAGCAGGUUCCCCUGCUAAAGAACCAUGCUGACAUCUAGUUAAUGUUCUUAUUUGCUAAAGUAAUGAGACUCAACCUGCCUGUGACUCUCAAUCUUUUACAAACCAAAAUUUGUAGUCUUUGCUCAUAGGCAAGAAAAAAAAAUGAUCUGCAGUAGCCCCAAGUUUAAAUCAGCAAAUUUGUUUCGUAAACAGCAGAAGUACCCGGGGUGCAGUUCUCCGGGGGGAGCUCAGGUGCGAUGGGCUCUUCCAGUCCUCUCCUCUUCUGGCAGUUGUUAAGUUUGUCGCAUACCUAAAUAUGCCAAGUGUAACCCACAGCAGGAGGGGGUUGUCAGAGGACAAAUAUAAUUUUUAUUCUCCUCUCUGAUGUAACUGUGGGUCAGUCAUCUCGUGGUCCUCACAGAUGAUUGGUUCACUGGUAUUAUUUAUCUCAUUUUGGUCCAACAACAGAGACCAUAGACACUCAUAACUUCCCCUUGAAGCAACCAUUCUACUAAUUAAAAUGAAAAGCGCCUGAUUCUGUUUCUCCUAAAAAUAUAAUUCUUUUUCUGAUUAGAGAUGCAAUUUAAAAAAAAAAAAAAAAAAGGCAAAAAUGGGUAUCUUAUUUUUGUCUGUUGGCUCACAAAACCUGCAUGAACACGAGUUUUAUGUGUGUGAAACUGCCAAAUUGGAGCCAGGGUAGAAACUCUCAAGGGUCUGAAUGUUGAGCAAAAGAGAUAGAUGAAACAGCUGAGUUACUGAACUGAGAAACAUAUGUGCUGUACUUACACAUUUACCAGCGCUCUAAAGAUUUUCUGAUAUGUGGCUGCUCUCUUGAAAAUUAUUUACAUGGCAUUCUGGAGUUGUUCCCACAGAUAUGAUUCCAUUUUGAUCUGCCAAUUACAUUAUGUGCUGUUGCAAAGAAGUUUGUAAAUGAGUCUUUGUUCCUUAGAUGGAAAGCGUUUUGAAGGAGUUCUACCAGCCUGAUGGUAAAUCAUGAACGUCAAAAAUGAGGCUGUCUAAAAAUACAUUAGAGGUUGAUGUAAACAUUGCUGGUAUCAGAGGAGAUGGUUCCCAUCAACUUUUGGGAAUGCUGAAUCUGAUGUCCCUUUACAUACACCAAGUUGCUCAGGACAGACCUCCUCCUUCAUGAUGCCCAUGGAAAUCACUGCAGAUUUGACAGCUCUGGCUCCUGGUAACUCCUGUGGGCUCCUCGAGUCCAUAGCAAGGACAGCUGCCCAAAGCCAAGGUUCACCCUCAUGGGAGGUGGGUACAGAAAAAAAGUCUGCUGUUCAGCUGGACCAGGAAGAGAAGUGGAGAAGUUUUCAGUGGCAUUUUCAGAGGUGUUUCACAGCCAGGAGUGUUACAGGAGUGGAAGACCUUGUGCUUUUGAUAAGUCUGUGCCACAGUGGGAUUCUGGCAUCCCUUAGAUGAGACGCCCAUGAGCCCUGAGGAAUCACAUUGCCUUGCAGCCACUGUACAGCCAUGAAAACCAGCUGAAAACAAAACCGAGCCUCUUCGGAGAAAGCCCCACAAGUGACCUCUUCAGCAAAGUGGACAAAGAUUUACAUUGGCUUCUCUUCUCCCCGGCUAUCACUUACACUACAUGCACACUGUUGUUCCUCCUGCCUGUGCCAUUGUACUUCCCUUCUAACCUGUUUUCAACCUGCAAAGGCUUUUGCAAGGAAGUCAGCACGCAGCAAUGGUGUGAGCUUACAGCACGUUGGCUGCUUUGUGCUAAUUUCCCAUUAGUGCACAUAGGCGGUAGUUUCGAAGAUAGGUGCGGUGCCUUGUAUGUCAGUGGGUGUUCUAAGGUCUGCAGCUGGGCAGAUGGAUCAGUACUGCCUGACAUAUCAGCUUAUAGUGCAAGGAGACCGUUACUUCAAAUGAAUUUGCUAUGGGACCGUAAAAAGCCUCUGUUAUGAAUAGUCUUCUACAGACAGGAUGAUGUAACAUCCAGUAUAAGGCACCAUAACUGUGUUGUUUACAUUUUUGGUGUGCUGUCCCAUAUAUAAAUCCCCAGUGCUCCAAAAAACAAUGCAUUAAAAGUUAAGGAUGAAUCCAAUCAAUAACCUACUGCGUUAUUCAUGGGUUCAGCGAUGCAGAGUUAAUCCUUUGGGACAAUGACAUUAGGACAUUUGAACAAAACGUACAGCACCCUGCCUAACACCCAGUCUGCACGGAGGAUAAAACCCACUGCUACAACCUUCAUCUUCUCCCUCCAGGGAUAGAGACGUUCCUGCUCAGCACUGGAACUUCUGGAGAUGAUAAACACAAGCAACUCAUCCCCAGCUCCAUCCUGAGCACCUUCAGCAUUGCCACUCAGCACCUCAAAAUUGUGUGCGUCCAAUGCCAACUGCCCACCAUGGCAAAGGAACAAGACAUUUGCUCCAAGUUUCAGUGUUAAUAAAGAAGGUGAAUCUUUCACACCAGUGGUUGCAGAUGUCAUGCACUUGCCUCCUGCUAUUUGGAUCCACUGUGCUGCAGAGAGUGAACCAGGCAAACCCACCUGUAGAGGAGGGCAGGGAAAGUGAAAUCCCGAGCACCAAGCAGAGUCUUGCUGGAGACCACCGAGGAGACACAGCAUCAGCAAUUGCUGACAAAGCCCAUUGCACCAUCAGAACCAAGCCAAGGAUGAAAGAACGUGACACCAAUCUGUAUUUCCAGCAACCUUUGUUGGAAAGGUGGUCUGCGCUCAUGAAUACUGUUGUUAUACCUACAGCCCCCAAAGAGCAACCUACUUGAGCUGUGACAGAGCUGCUCAUAUAACCAAGGGUAUAUGGUUAUGUAGCCUGUCUGGGGAUGUAAGCACAUUUACCUGUAGACUAAAGGAGAUGACCGAAUCCUUGUAAAUGAGCACAAAACAUCGCGAUGCCUAUGCCUUCAAACACCAAAGGAUGAGCAUGAACAGUGUCUCUAGAGCCACUCCAGACUCUAGACACUCAGCACUAGGUGUCCUGUGCUGAGAUACGACUACUGCUACUGACCACAGCUCACGUGCACGUGUCACAGGACCAGUCAAGGUCGUAAACUUAAGCAUAUUUAUAUCUCUUGGUAGGAACAGAGCUGUAAUUAUAUUUUGGGUGUUUCUUGCCUUCUUCAAUUGCUGCCAGUGCUGCUUGUUUGCUACAGCGUAACCCGUGGCAUAUUUUAUAGGUUUUCAACCUUUGCACACAAUGGAUUAGAAAGAAAGUCAAUUAUGCAUAAGAUUGAAAGAGUUAUGUAAAUAUAAAACCAAUAUAAUGUAUUAUUUACAUACAGCCUGUACUUACCCUAAGUAACUUCUGCAGAAACCUGGGCUAUCACAAACAGCUCACACCUAAUUUCUGAGCCCUAUUCCAGAAAAGAGGGGAGGAUUCUGGCUACCUUAAAUCAGUGCUAAUAUUUUCUAGAUGAGAGCAUAUUUGUAUAAGAACAUAACUCAACAUAACACGGAUGGACAACAAGCAGGAUAAAUCUCUAUCAUUUAUUACAUUUGCUGAGCGAUCAAAGGUGUCUAACUAGACAUUUUUCCUCAUUGGUUGUUUGCAUUAGAUAUGCAAAUCUCCUUUCUUGCAGAGCCAUUUCUGAAUAUAUUUGCGAGGCUAUUGAUGUCCAUUACUUCACUUAAAUAUAGAUCAGAAAUACUGACAAAUAUUUUCAUUCAAAGAGUUUGAUCAUUUUCAGAUUACUCUCCAUGCUAGUAAUUAACCUCAGUCAACACCCUUCCAUAGCACUUUCAAACACAGUUCCUAGCAAACAUAAAGUUUCAUAAAUAUGUACUAAAUAACCUUAAAGCCCUUUAUGAAUAAUUAUGAGUUUUUAAGUUUUUGUGAAUCUGCAUAUUAAUUCCACGCCAUAAAUAAUACAUGAAGCAAAAAUCCAGCUUGUUUGGUGUCUGGGGACAGAGAAAGAAAAGGAGGGGAUAAUUAUCAGUUUAAUGUGGGAAAAUACUUAACCUAAAAGAUUAUCUUCAAAACUGAUGACUCUAUAGGUUUGUAUAUACGUGUGUGUAUAAAUACAUAUAAGUAUAUAAAAUAUACGUGUAUGAAGAUAGGUUUGUCUGCAGAUACGCAUCCAGCCUGAGAAAGCCUUAAUUUGAGGCAUGUUACAUUCCUGUCUCCUCUGUGCCAUGCUGAGCUCUUCAAGUGCAAAGUGAUGCGAUGAGCUCAGCCUCCACACAACCCUUCUUUCUAUAAACGUAUGUUCCCCCAAAGGUAGAAAAUUAAUGAGAGGCUGCUGACUAAAAUUACUACAUUUUGCCUUCUGUGGGACAUUAUGGAUUUAAAAGAUAAGCAAGAGUGCAGCAAGUCCAAAAACAAUUUCAUUUCGUUAAUCCUUUAAGUGCCUCGGGAUGAGCAGCCCAUGUCCAGCAAAGGUGAUGCUUCUGCAUGCCUAUUGCACAGCAGUACUUGCACACUCUGCUUCUCGGCUCCACAUGGAAGGCAUCCAGUGGGGUGGGAUGAUGUAUGGCUGAAUGGUCUUAGGCUGACACUUCCUGGAUGCUCGCUGACAGUAAUAGGAAACGUAAGCGGUGUGCAGAGACAGCUCGUAGGUAAAGCAGGGAGUGUGAAUAGGAUUUUUCCUCUUUAUUCCGUACAGCUUACAGCAAAGAAAAGGCAUUUUCUGCUCAAAUGUCUUUGAACAAAACAAAGUGGAAACUAUUAUGUUUCAAAACCAGGACCCGGGAACAUAUUCCAUGUUUGCCUUUGUCAAAGGAGUACAACGAUUUAUAGUUUGGGAAGAAAAUCAUUGCAUUCCAAUUUUAUAUUUUUCAAUAAGUGACUCCAUUUAUUUUUUACAUAUUAAUCCACCUCCAUAAUGAAAAUAGAUUUCACUUCUCAUUUCAAGUCCUUCAGAUCUAUUUCACUUCCCGGUCAUGCUCAGCGCUUGGCUAGGAGAAUGAAAGGCAGUAUUUCAAAUAAUAGCAACUCAAUAGCAAGCCUGUUCUCUUGGUUUUAAUGCAGAAAGAAGAAAAGAUAAACCAAAUUUGUACAAGAAUCUUCAGAGAUAGGAGCACUCCCUUGUUCUGACGCCAUUUCCCAGCCCUGCAGCAUCAGGAGAGCAGUGCUGUUGGUGCGGGGGUGCUGCCGGGAGCAGGGUGAGGGGCUGGGGAUAGGAUCCCACAGAAGCGACUGAAUCCAAAGCUCAACUUAAGACUGCUCAGAAAGAUUCCAGGAGGGGGUGAGGGGCUGCUGGAGGUGCCGGCAGCACUGUCUCGUCACGGCAGCCUGCUAAUUAACCGUGAUGGGUUUUAAAGCCUCAGCUGGAAGCAGCUUCUGGAGAAACGGAUGGAGCACCCAGGUUUGUUUUGUAUCCAAAAAGGGGGACACAGAGUUGAAAAGAAUUGUUGUAAAGGCCUGCAUCAGUGUUAUUCUGCAUCCGUCUGCUUUGCGUACCGUUUGCUAGGAAUUUAUAAAGUAACAUACAUUCAGUAUGAAGGAAAAAAAAAAAACAAACAACAGAUCUUUAAAAUAUUGAACUGUGGCUGCUGUGCCUCGUGGAAAGGUACAGGCUUCUCGUCCGGGAGUUGCAUUGUGUGGAUGCAAACCUGUUGAUGAGUGGUUUAAGCUAAUUCUCAUUUAUACUGGACUCAUAAAUCCAUAAACUUUGGUAAGAACUCAGCUGCAGCCGAUGUUAUUGGUUGAACUGUUUUCAUCUGAAGCCCAUUCUGAAUCCCCAACAAAAAUAGUAGGCCAGAUGCCCAGACAGCAGCUAGAGACCCUCAUUAGGCAUCAUUUGCAUCCUAUUAACCACUGAGCUGUGGGUCAUUCGCUGCCUGUCAACCAUUCAAGUCAUUCCUUUUGUGUUAAUUAGUAGAGAAAUAAGGAGUUAAUGAAGAUCUUAUGAUCUGUGAUGAUUCAUCUUUGUUGUUUCAAACGAAUCCCUGCUCUCCGAGCACCCCAAUGAGCUCCUGCACACCGAAUAAUAGAGGAAUAGUGGAGGGAGCUUAGGGCGGCCUUUGGAGUGCCAUUCUCUGGGGACCUUUUGCAUGGUGGGCUUUGUUAGCUAAAGAUUAGAAGGAGUUAAUUGCUUCAAGAUUGCUCGCAGAUUAGGUUACAUGGUGUGUUGUAUCUAUGUAAGCAUAUGUCAGGUCUAGUUAAAAGAUAGAAGAUGCUUAUUUUAAUAAAAUUAUGAAAGGAAGAAUUAAUUUGUCAUUAUUGUAGAAAUCUUAUUUCUACCCUUAAUUUGAGCACUUUCAGAUAAAUGCAGGGCUGGUUUCCGUCUCAUUUUCCUGCUCCAAAUGGGAGGGUCCCAGUUUUCCUGCCCAUUCUGGGGACAGCACAGCAUGGCUGUGGAAAGACACAGAUGGAAAACCCAAAUCAACAGACAAGCAGUAAGAGCAGCUCUUCUUCUUUAGGAAUUUUCUUUAGGAAGAAAUGAUUCCUCUUUCCACGCUAGUUCUGGUGAACACAUUCUCACAUCCAGCAAGCUGACAACAAAGUUCCACAACAGGGGUGAUGAAAUGCACAGACCUUCAUGGCCUGGCUAUAUAAGAAGACACCAGAAGUGAAAUAUACUUG
rnacentral:lncRNA from 1 species